CUGCGUCCGACGCCCAUCGCCGAGGCUGAGAGGCAAGAUUCGUCGUCUUCAGUGCCCCCAGCGCGGCGCCCAGAACUCCCAGGAACAAAUGAGCUCUGAGUCAUCUUCUGAUACAUCUGGGUCAUCAACUUCAAAAACCUCUGGGUCCACAAGUAGCUCAUCUUCCACUAGCUUGCAUUCAGAGGACAUUGUCGAAAAAGGUUCUUGUACUUCUGCCAGGCAUAGAACGAAACGAGGUCACGCCAAAUGCAAGAAGCUAGAAAAAGGAGGUCCUCGUCGUCUUACGUUUGAUAAAAAUGGGAUUGCCCAGUCACCGGUAAAACAUGUCAAUGAAUUCUCAAGCUAUUGUGGUUAUAUAGCACGCAUGCGUGUUGAUAUUAGGAUAAAGGAUUGGCGAAAAGUGUCUACAGUGGUAAAAUCAAACCUAUGGGAGGAUGUGUCAAAGAAAUUUGUCAUGCCAAGGGAUGAAACCCAUACCCUCAGUGUGAAGAAGGUCGCUUUGAAAUCUAUGAGCCAUGCAUGGAAGGAUUUCAAGUGGAAACUAAAUAUAAAUUAUGUCAAGAAGGACAAAACUCCAUUUGAGGACUAUCCAGAACUCAAGAAAGAGUGGUGGCCAGACUUUGUGGAGUGGGUUACCUCUUAUGAGUAUAUUGCUCUAGGAGAAAAGGGAAAGAAAAGCCAAAACAUGAAUAAGUUCCAUCAAAAACUAGGACGGCGAAGCUAUACUGUACAAAAGAGAAAAUGGGCAAAGGAAGAUGCACAAGCAUUAACUGAGGGUAAAUCUAUUCCAUUUCAAGACAUGCCAGAUGGUCGUCAUAAGGAUUGGGCAAGGGCGAGGAAUCCUUCUGGCGAUGUGAACAUAACAGAGUUGCAUCCAAUCAUAAAGAAAAUUGUAGAUCUAAAUGAAAAGUCAGUAGCUGGUACCUUUACACCAUUGGAUAAUAUGGACAUACUUGCAACAGCAAUAGGGAGUAAUCAUCCAGGGAGGACAACAUGAGUGAGUGCUUAUGUGGGUUUAGGGAUGGGUCUUGCUCAAGGUGAUGGCCCUCGUAAAAAGAAACGUAGAACAAUGAAAGAAUAUGUCAAGAGGAUUGUGGAUGAGUACGAGGCCAAGUUUGAGAAACUGACAGCCCUGUGUCAGAGUAUGGAGCGUCGAUUAAACAAUUCUGAGAGUUGCUCAUCUUCAAAAUUUGUUUAUACACC
rnacentral:misc_RNA from 1 species